AGAAUGCACUGAUUGUUUUUGCUUUGCUUCUAUGCAUAUGAUGAUGUAAUCUCACUGCUUGCUAAAAAUGAAUAAAUAAAGACUUACUGAGACCCUCAGAGAGAGACACACUAACACAAGACAUUGAGUGUGUCUGAUUCAUUCCUCAAUUGUGCCGACGCCGUCCCAUUCUUCAGGAACCCCGACACCCAGUUUGCCGAGGCUGGUUUUCGGCAGGUGGCGCCCGAACAGGGACCUGACAGGUUACGUUCCUAGAAGCAAAAUUUCUGAAUCAACUUUGAGAUUGCAAAACUGCUAUCACAGAACAUUCCUUCAAUUUCCAUGCUUACUGACGAGCCAAUUUUACAAAGUGACUGGACUAACUUAAAGUCCUAGGAGAAGUGCCUGAGAGUUCCAGUUGUCCCAUUUUCCAGCACUUGAUAUUGUAUCCUUUUCAUUUUAUCAUUCUAGUGGGUGUGAUCUUGAUUUUUAGUCUCCAGAACUGUGAGAAAAUAAGUAUUUGUUGUAUGGUAUGGUAUCUUGUUAUGGCAGGCCAAACUGACUAAGGUAAGAGUGGAAUCACAUUGUAGCUUUAAUCUGCUAGUUUCUCCUCAAGGUGUUUUAAAUUAAAGAAAGGGGAGUUUUCCUAUUUGUAUGUUAGCUGCAGGACUAGAAAAAAGGGAUAAGGCAGGUAAAAAUUUCUAAAAGGCUGAACAAAUUCAGUGUAGUUGGGUUUGGUAGAAGAAGUUAAGUCAAUAAAUAUGGAAAAGCACUAGAAUUGGCAGAUCAGUUAGAUGAGAGGAGUAAAGGGGAGGAAGAUGGCAAUUUAGCUUUUUGUCUAAGAAUGGCACAGGAGUCAGACUACAUGAUUUCAAACCCUGGCUCCAUGACCUAUGUGACCUUGAGUGACUUAUUUUUCCAUACUAAACAUCUAUUACCUCAACUAUAAAUUAAGGAAUUAGCUAUAAUAACUUACUUCUAGAGGAGAAAUGAAAUAAUGUAAA